rnacentral:rRNA from 1 species
UAGAGUUUGAUCAUGGCUCAGAUUGAACGCUGGCGGCAGGCCUAACACAUGCAAGUCGAGCGGUAGAGAGAAGCUUGCUUCUCUUGAGAGCGGCGGACGGGUGAGUAAUGCCUAGGAAUCUGCCUGGUAGUGGGGGAUAACGUUCGGAAACGGACGCUAAUACCGCAUACGUCCUACGGGAGAAAGCAGGGGACCUUCGGGCCUUGCGCUAUCAGAUGAGCCUAGGUCGGAUUAGCUAGUUGGUGGGGUAAUGGCUCACCAAGGCGACGAUCCGUAACUGGUCUGAGAGGAUGAUCAGUCACACUGGAACUGAGACACGGUCCAGACUCCUACGGGAGGCAGCAGUGGGGAAUAUUGGACAAUGGGCGAAAGCCUGAUCCAGCCAUGCCGCGUGUGUGAAGAAGGUCUUCGGAUUGUAAAGCACUUUAAGUUGGGAGGAAGGGUUGUAGAUUAAUACUCUGCAAUUUUGACGUUACCGACAGAAUAAGCACCGGCUAACUCUGUGCCAGCAGCCGCGGUAAUACAGAGGGUGCAAGCGUUAAUCGGAAUUACUGGGCGUAAAGCGCGCGUAGGUGGUUUGUUAAGUUGGAUGUGAAAUCCCCGGGCUCAACCUGGGAACUGCAUUCAAAACUGACUGACUAGAGUAUGGUAGAGGGUGGUGGAAUUUCCUGUGUAGCGGUGAAAUGCGUAGAUAUAGGAAGGAACACCAGUGGCGAAGGCGACCACCUGGACUAAUACUGACACUGA